rnacentral:rRNA from 1 species
GGAAUCUACCUCCUCGCAGGGAACAACCUCUCGAAAGAGAGGCUAAUACCCAAAAGGGUCAGAAAUGAUCAGAGUCGAAAGGCGUGAGGAGAGGAGCCCGCGGCCCAUCAGCUAGUUGGUGAGGUAAUGGCUUACCAAGGCUACGACGGGUAGGGGAUCUGAGAGGAUGUCCCCCACACUGGAACUGAAACACGGUCCAGACGCCUACGGGUGGCAGCAGUGAGGAAUAUUGGACAAUGGGCGAAAGCCCGAUCCAGCAACGCCGCGUGGAGGAUGAAGGCCUUCGGGUCGUAAACUUCUUUAGAGGGAGACGAGAAAGGACGGUAUCCCUAGAAUAAGCGACGGCAAACUACGUGCCAGCAGCCGCGGUAACACGUAGGUCGCGAGCGUUAUCCGGAUUUACUGGGCGUAAAGCGCUUGUAGGCGGUUCUGUAAGUCGGGCGUGAAAUCUCCGGGCUUAACCCGGGGUGGCCGUUCGAUACUGCAGGGCUUGAGGAUGCUAGAGGGUGGUGGAAUUCCAGGUGUAGUGGUGAAAUGCGUAGAUAUCUGGAGGAACAUCCGUGGCGAAGGCGGCCACCUGGGGCAUUCCUGACGCUGAGAAGCGACAGCUAGGGGAUCAAACGGGAUUAGAAACCCCGGUAGUCCUAGCCGUAAACGAUGGACGCUAGGUGUUGGCAGAUCUAACCCUGUCUGCGCCGAAGCAAACGCGUUAAGCGUCCCGCCUGGGAACUACGGUCGCAAGAUUAAAACUCAAAAGAAUUGACGGGGACCCGCACAAGCAGCGGAGCGUGUGGUUUAAUUCGACCUACACGAAGAACCUUACCCAGGUUUGACAUACUAGUGGUAGUGAACUGAAAGGGGAACGACCCGCAAGGGAGCUAGUACAGGUGUUGCAUGGCUGUCGUCAGCUCGUGUCGUGAGAUGUUGGUUUAAGUACCCUAACGAGCGCAACCCUUAUUGCCAGUUACACGUAUCUGGCGAGACUGCCGGCCACAAGCCGGAGGAAGGCGAGGAUGACGUCAAGUCAGCAUGGCCUUUAUAUCUGGGGCUACACACACGCUACAAUGGGCGUAACAAUGGGAUGCCAAGCCGUGAGGCGGAGCCAAUCCCCCAAAUACGUCCUCAGUUCAGAUUGCAGGCUGCAACCCGCCUGCAUGAAGUCGGAGUUGCUAGUAAACGCGCGUCAGCUAUAGUGCGUUGAAUACGUUCCCGGGUCUUGUACACACCGCCCGUCACACUAUGGGAGCUGGUAAUACCUGAAGCCGGUAGCCUAACCGCAAGGAAGGCGCCGUCAAAGGUAGGGCUGGUGACUGGAGUGAAGUCGUAACAAGGUA